UACGUAGGGUGCAAGCGUUGUCCGGAAUUAUUGGGCGUAAAGAGCUCGUAGGCGGCUUGUCGCGUCGGCUGUGAAAACCUGGGGCUCAACCCCGGGCCUGCAGCCGAUACGGGCAAGCUAGAAUUCGGUAGGGGAGACUGGAAAUCCUGGUGUAGCGGUGAAAUGCGCAGAUAUCAGGAGGAACACCGGUGGCGAAGGCGGGUCUCUGGGCAGUAACUGACGCUGAGGAGCGAAAGCGUGGGGAGCGAACAGG
rnacentral:rRNA from 1 species